GUGCUUGCUUCGGCAGCACAUACACUAACAUUGGGAUGAUACAGAGAAGGUCAGCAGAGCCCUUGCGCAAGGAUGACACGCAUAUUGGCAAACGGGAUUGAAAUCCAG
ensembl:snRNA U6 U6 spliceosomal RNA